rnacentral:rRNA from 1 species
UACGGAGGGUGCAAGCGUUAUCCGGAUUCACUGGGUUUAAAGGGUGCGUAGGAGGGCAGGUAAGUCAGUGGUGAAAUCCCCGAGCUUAACUUGGGAACUGCCGUUGAUACUAUCUGUCUUGAAUGUUGUGGAGGUGAGCGGAAUAUGUCAUGUAGCGGUGAAAUGCUUAGAUAUGACAUAGAACACCAAUUGCGAAGGCAGCUCGCUACACAAUUAUUGACUCUGAGGCACGAAAGCGUGGGGAUCAAACAGG